rnacentral:rRNA from 1 species
AACGUAGGACACAAGCGUUAUCCGGAGUUACUGGGCGUAAAGGGCGUGUAGGCGGAGGUGUAAGUCUAUUCUGAAAGCUCCUGGCUAAACUGGGAGAGGCGAAUGGAGACUGCAUAUCUAGAGUGAGGAAGAGGAAAGUGGAAUUCCGCGUGUAGUGGUGAAAUGCGUAGAGAUGCGGAGGAACACCAGUGGCGAAGGCGACUUUCUGGCCUGUUCUUGACGCUGAGGCGCGAAAGCUAGGGGAGCAAACGGG